GAUGAACGCUAGCGGCAGGCCUAAUACAUGCAAGUCGAACGGGAUCCAGAUCAAAGCUUGCUUUGGUCUGGUGAGAGUGGCGCACGGGUGCGUAACGCGUGAGCAACCUACCCUUGUCAGGGGGAUAGCCCGGCGAAAGUCGGAUUAAUACCGCAUGACAUCAUUGAGAGGCAUCUUUCGAUGAUCAAAGAUUUAUCGGACAAGGAUGGGCUCGCGUGACAUUAGCUAGUUGGUAAGGUAACGGCUUACCAAGGCUGCGAUGUCUAGGGGCUCUGAGAGGAGAAUCCCCCACACUGGUACUGAGACACGGACCAGACUCCUACGGGAGGCAGCAGUAAGGAAUAUUGGUCAAUGGACGGAAGUCUGAACCAGCCAUGCCGCGUGCAGGAGGACGGCCCUAUGGGUUGUAAACUGCUUUUAUACGGGAACAAACGUCGGUACGUGUACCGGUCUGAGUGUACCGUAAGAAUAAGGAUCGGCUAACUCCGUG
rnacentral:rRNA from 1 species